rnacentral:rRNA from 1 species
AGGGUUUGAUCAUGGCUCAGGAUGAACGCUGGCGGUAUGCUUUACACAUGCAAGUCGUACGAGAGUUUUGAACUCAAGUGGCGGACGGGUGAGUAACACGUAAGAAUUUACCUUUAGGAGGGGGACAACAACUGGAAACGGUUGCUAAUACCCCAUAUGCUUUCGAGUGAAAUGGAUUUUUCCGCCUAGAGAGAAGCUUGCGGCUGAUUAGCUUGUUGGUGAGGUAAUGGCUUACCAAGGCGACGAUCAGUAUCUGGUUUGAGAGGACGAUCAGACACACUGGAACUGAGACACGGUCCAGACUCCUACGGGAGGCAGCAGUGGGGAAUUUUCCGCAAUGGGCGAAAGCCUGACGGAGCAAUACCGCGUGAGGGAUGACGGCCUAUGGGUUGUAAACCUCUUUUUUCAGGGAGGAAUCAAAUGACGUGUACCUGAAGAAUAAGCAUCGGCUAACUCCGUGCCAGCAGCCGCGGUAAGACGGAGGAUGCAAGUGUUAUCCGGAAUCACUGGGCGUAAAGCGUCUGUAGGUGGUCAAAUAAGUCAACUGUUAAAUCUUGGGGCUCAACCUCAAAAUCGCAGUCGAAACUAUUAGACUAGAGUAUAGUAGGGGUAAAGGGAAUUUCCAGUGGAGCGGUGAAAUGCGUAGAGAUUGGAAAGAACACCGAUGGCGAAGGCACUUUACUGGGCUAUUACUAACACUCAGAGACGAAAGCUAGGGUAGCAAAUGGGAUUAGAUACCCCAGUAGUCCUAGCCGUAAACAAUGGAUACUAGAUGUUGAAC